UACGGGGGAUGCAAGCGUUAUCCGGGAUUAUUGGGCGUAAAGGGUCCUGAGGUGGCUAGCCAAGUCUAUUGUGAAAUAUCAGGGCUUAACCCUGAACAUGCGGUGGAAACUAGAAAGCUUGAGUACAGUAGGGGCGGAGGGAAUUUCCGGUGGAGCGGUGAAAUGCAUAGAUAUCGGGAAGAACACCAACGGCGAAAGCACUCCGCUGGGCUGAUACUGACACUGACAGACGAAAGCUAGGGUAGCGAAAGGG
rnacentral:rRNA from 1 species